rnacentral:snRNA from 1 species
GUGCCUGCUUUGGCAGCACAGAGAUUAAGAGUGGAAAGAUACUGAGGAUGCUUAGUGUGGUCGCUAUGCAUGGAUGACAUCCAGAUCUGCGAAGGGUCCUGUGUUUUU